rnacentral:rRNA from 1 species
UACGUAGGGUGCAAGCGUUGUCCGGAAUCAUUGGGCGUAAAGAGCUCGUAGGCGGUCUGUCGCGUCGGCUGUGAAAACCCGGAGCUCAACUCCGGGCCUGCAGUCGAUACGGGCAAACUGGAGUACUGCAGGGGAGACUGGAAUUCCUGGUGUAGCGGUGAAAUGCGCAGAUAUCAGGAGGAACACCGAUGGCGAAGGCAGGUCUCUGGGCCACUACUGACGCUGAGAAGCGAAAGCAUGGGGAGCGAACAGG